AACAGAUGUGCCUGGCGCGCAGCCCACGUUUCGGGAACACAAGAUGACGGCGGCAUUGAUUGCUGACACAAUCGUGUGGUUUCUGAGAGCUCAGGAUUGCACCUAAAGCUUCCAGGAGACGCGGGCAGACUGGCACUUGGGGGAAGCACCGCCGUCAGCUCACCUGGGAACUCCGACGUCCGAAGUGCCUUGGCCCCUGCUCAGCUCAAAGGCCCUCUUUUUUUUUUCUCUUUUUGCCAAAUCUGUAUUAGAAAAGAAUGACCGCAGUUGCAGUUUUAAAUCUUCAUGUAUAGAUACAUGGGCAUUUUGUUCUGUUUGGCUAUAUUUUUCAUAUAGAGAAAAAUAUUCCUAAUACUUGAACCUGAAUUGCGUUUUGGUGCAACUGAAGGAUGAAACGGCAGGCCGACAAGGGAAUUUCACUUUUUCAAACUUAACUCUUUCCUGGGACUAACGUGAGCAGCGGGAGGUCACUCAGGAAGCAGUGACUUCUUUGCAAAAGGAUAAAGCAGUCAUUCUAAGAAACUAGAAGGCCGUAUCUGCGAAACAUCUUGCACAGAACUGUCUCCUGCACUUUCAGGCUAUAGCUCAAGUCUGCUCUACAAGUAGAAGUGUCUCAGGGUUUUAGAAAUUGUGAGUAAGAUGCAAACACCGUUGGGAUCUGAAGCACUGGGAAUUGUGAGUAGCCAUUCCCGCGCAGCGUGGGUUUGCUUCGCAGGAAUGCUGCCAGCUUUACGGCCCAGGAAGCCUCCUCGGCUCCCUGAGCAGGUCUUCCUGAAAGUCAGGCUCUUCAGCCCCCUCCCCUGUGUUGCUCUGGGUGUCUGGGAGGGUGGCCCACACCCUCAGCCCCGCAGGUCAGGCUGUGCUGUCGCUGUGCCAACAGCAUGCCCCGAGUGUCACCGCCUUCACUCGAGGAGCCCGUUUCCCCCGGCGGGAGGCCGUCCCAGGCUCCACGUCUGAAGCGGAGGGAUGCGCACGUCUGGCAAGUUUCAGGGACGGGCCUGGUGUGGACGCUGCUGUGUCCUCCGGUCGAAGACUUGGGAAACACAACCGUGCUUACAGACGCUUGUAAACCGAGCCAGGUGUUUCUUGGCAAAUUGUAUGUAUAAAAUAUACAUGUGUUAGUGUACUUAAUCAAAAAUACACAAAUUCAUACACAGAUAAUGGCCAAAACGUUCCAGUAAUAAUUAUCUUUAAAACUGCAAGGACCUGGUGUAAUACUGUGAUGUUGUGAUUUAUAAUGAGAAAUAUGCAUUUGGUCUGAGUCCCAGCCGACCUCUGACCCCCCAGGAGGGGAGCAGGGCGGGAGGCGGAGUUCAGUCACCACCCACGUUGGAUGUGAAGGCCCCACAGGGACAGGAGCCCUGACCUGUUGGUCAGAAGCACAGGUGAUGUCCUGGCCACCCAGGUGACAACUGAAGCGGGGGUGGAGGGGCUCUCAUAGGACACAGCCCUUAACCCGCGUGGGGUCUGGCGCCAUCUCCACGCGGACAGUGUCAGAACUGAGUUGAAUGGGACACACGCAGCCGGCAUCGAGAAUCACUUGGUGGUGAGGAAAAUCCGCAGCCCCUGGGAUUUGGUGUCAGAAUUGGAAAAGUAGGUUAACUCUGUACCAUUUCCUUUAGUUCUUUGUGCAUUCACUCUGUAUCGCCAUUGUGUGGUUUCUGGGGGCAGAACACGAGAAACCGCGGGCCCAGAAGGAGACCAGAGCAGGUGGUGUCACCGUCUUCAGUGAGCUGGGCACGAGGCUACCAUCCAGAGCACAGCGGGAAAGAGGACAGCUUGUCUUUCUGGGGAAACAGAAGAGGGCCAGUGCGCGAGCAUGUUAAUGAGAAGAGGUCUGGUGGUGUGAGAGGACAGUUCAUUGAGCUGUUCUGCCAGUUUCAUCACAGCAACUGCUGUGACUCCUAUCAGCACGUUUUUGGUAACACCUAGAGUAGCGUGACUGUCGGUCAUCUUUGAUUAUCGACAACAAGGGAGCCCAGACUUGGUGACCCAAGUGCUCUCGGAAUGAAACCCAGCCAAUCCACGAAUCCAAACACAGCGCUCACUGCUGGGUGUUGAUACACGUCGACUCCUGUUUCUCCAAAGCCAGGUGAGGAAAGACAUACUUGAACUCACUUUCAUAUGAACCACACACAGAAGUAAACUGCUGUCUGGCCCCAUAAUGGAAGGCGACGGGGGAGCUGUGACUUGCCCCCAGGGGCACAGCCGCCGGCUUACCGGGCAGGGAGUUGGCCCUGAGGCGGCCAGCGCGUUUCCACAGGCCGGCUCUGCCCCGCGGUUCCCAGUCCGUAAACCCUCCACCUGCCUUGUUUGGUGCUUCGUGCAGAAGCUGUACCCCGCCUGCACCCACAGGGCCUUGCUGUGUGACUUCACAGCCCCGUGUGCACACAGCCUGCUCACUGGCUCCGUCCUCAGUUGCAGAGAGCCGCUCGUGCCCGGGGUCAGCAGGUUUCAGCGUCCGUCUGCAGUGCUUCCCACGAGCCCCACAUCUGCUCCGGGGCCGUCGGAUGCCCCUCACCCUCGAGUCACAGCCUACAUCCUUCCUCUCCAGGAGGGGUCUGCAAGGCGCACCCACAUCAGGGUCUGCCUCUGCUCACUUGGGUCCAGGGAGUCAGAAGUCGAGUCUGGAGGAAGAGGUGUUUCAAAGCCUAGUUCCAUUUUUGUGAUAAUCUUUAACUUUGGCAGUUUGAAAGGCCUAUCUUGUAGUGAUACUUAAUAAUUGAUAGAAUUAAAGAAAUUUAGUCUUUUAGGCAAACAGUUCUCAAAUUAAUUAAUUUGGGUGAUUUCCCCACUUUUAAAGGGUGGGCACAUCACCCAGAUUUGAGAAAUGCUGACUUCCAGACUCAGCCUGUGUCCUGGACAGGCCGCGUCUCGGCUCCUCUGACCAGGCCCUGAGUGGUCAGUUCUGCCCCAGCCCCGCUGGCCCCCAGCUCAGCUCAGCUCUCUCCCCGUCUGAAAACUCUUCCCCAGUGACAGCUAUGGACGUGAAGCGAUGACCGUGGAGACGCUGGGAGCCCCCGCCUGCCGCCCUGUGCGUCCUGAUGAUACUGCCUGACAGACUGUGUUCCGAGAAAGUGACUCCUCCUUUCCAGGCGACCUCCCUGGCUCAGGGAGGUCCGGGCAAACGCUGAAAGGGCUGGGAAACCAGACCCAGGACAGCACCUGCUGUUGCUGUGGGUGGGCUGGGGAGGGCUGCACUUCCGAAACCUUCUCCCCGGCAUGCUCACAGACGUUCCCACGUUUGGUCUCAGAGUCCAGCAGGCUGCCUGGAUGCUCGGCUGUGGAAUGGAUGGGGGACUGCAGGUGAGAAGGCGGCUGCACGACUCGCCCCUGGAGCUCAGACGGACGACAGGAGAAACUCUCUGGGGACUCCCCAUGUUGCCAUGGGUGGGUUGGGGGCCUGUUUCACCCUGAGACCCCCUGGUGCUCAGAUGUUGCUGAGGCCCAUGGAGGGGCUCUCUUGAGGGAGGCGUUUCCUGCAGGACCUGGCACGGCCGUCAGGAACCCCCCCCACAAGCCACGCAGCCCGCCCCCUCGGAAGGGAGGCCCAGGACAGCGCUCUGCAGCUGUCUCUCCUUCCUUCCUUUGCUGUCUUACCUGGAACCACACCACCUGUCUGUGCCCUGUGUCCCUUCCAGUGAGUAACAGGCCUCAGACGUGGUGCUUCCCUCCUGGGGGAGGAGAGCAGGGCUGGCAGCUGUUCCGAGCGGAGGCGGCAGGGGGCACCAGCGCCUUUCUGAACACCACGCUGGUCCCACCGCCUCCAGACACGUGGACCUCGGUUUCCUGCGCCCCAGCCUGAGGCCUUCCGUGACUUCUUCGGUGUUUUCUCUGUAAAACUCUCCCACCCCGUCUUCCACGCCCUCCCGUCACCUGCAGCUCUGUCACCGGUUCCCAGUCUGGUCCCCGCCACACACCCGUCUAUCCAUCCAUUUAUCCCCUCCUCUGUCAAUUUGUUGGUCCCCCAGGUCAGACCCACAGGGCUCCUCCCUCUGCGCGCUGGUACCAACGCCCCAAACACCUGCUUGGCCGUCCCACCUUCAAGUCUUGGUUGUGGAGUUUCCUGCAGAUGAAGGACACUCCUCUCCUUCCUGCACCUGAGUUGAACUUGGCCUGAAGGCUUAGCUGACUCCCACCCGCUGGCUGCCCACCCCACCCCGACCCCGGUGUGGACCCCCAACCUGGUGAGGAACUCCCGUGGGGCUCAAGUGCGGAGUCUAAGGUGGAGGUGCUUGAUUUAGCCAAACCUGAUGCUCCCUCCAUCCACGGGGCAGCCAGCCCCUCCCAGGGCUGCACCUGCAGACACCUCAGAAUUGGGGAGAGUCCCAGAGCGGGGCGUUUCCUGAGAGACCCCCUCUGGGAGCCCGACAUCCCGGAUUCCCGCCCAACCAGGCCUGUGUCACAGCAGAGUCGGGGGCGUCCGCCCGUCCCCUGCACCCACUUCCCAGAGCACCUGCACUGGUGCUGCUCACCGUGGGCACGGCCGUGACCCUCUCCUCCAGCUCCCCCACCAGGGGCCACAGGACACUGGGACCCUGGGGCGCCAUGCUCACCUCACAUCCUGAAUAAACAAGUCAGCCUUUCCUAGAACAACACGAGCAGACAUUCCUGUUUCUCACAUUCUUCAUUCUAACAAGACAGUUAAUCCAUUGAUCGGUGAGACCCUCCCUUUAACCCCAACUCUAACUUUAGUUGUGAAAACACCCCAUGAAGCUGAGAGUUUUGAAGACCAGUCGCGGCUGCUGGGGAAAGUACAGAUUCCUUGGUUUUCCUGCUAAACACACGUGUACAGAUGGCGUGAUGCUCACAGUACUGCACAAUCACGCUUACAGGCGUGAAGGCCAAAUCAGUGGUUCAUGUGAGGUUGUAUCUCUUUAAACCUCUUUUAAAUGGAGGGACUGGGGAUUGAACCCAGGACCUCGUGCAUGCUAAGGACACGCUCUGCCUCUGAGCUAUGUCUUCCCCAAGUGCCUUAGUUUUAUGAAGCAAAAUGUAUUCAACUACAGCUAAAAUUAUCACUUUAAAUAGUAACCUAAAGAUGCCAUUUGAGAAUAGGGUUAUGAAGCUCUUUUUAUUCACAAAAUAAGGAAAGCCAAUUUCAUAGUGUAAGAGAGAUUUUAGUCAUUGUGAAGUAACAUGUAAAUAUAGUUUGACUUUUAAAAAUCCAGUUCAGCAGCAGUAACACAUUUAAUGUGUCAAUGACAGAUAUUUAAGAGAGCAGAUUUACAGUGUCAGUAAUACAGACAGAACUGACAUAAAGUGUAAUGUUUCAUGAAAUUCUCACCCAAAUAGGUGCCCUCAGCCCUUUGCAGUUCUCAUCUAAACACUGAGUGUGUGGUGUGCAUUUCGUUCUUGUGGUGAAUGUUCAGGACAGACCAGUCGCCAUCCCACCUCACUCAGGACACCAGACGGGCCCCCUCGGGAGGGGCAGUGGAAGGAGCAGGGCGUGGCUGGCUCGGCCCCAGCGUAGGCGCCUCCCAGGAAGGGAAGCUGGCAGAACACCUCGGCUAAGAUUCACCUUUGAACUCCGGCAUUUGCCGCAGGAAAUGAAGAAAUGUGGAAAUACGUGUAAAUACAAGUACGUGUGUACACGUGCCCUCCUGUGUCCAGUCAAAUGGCUCCCUCCCCCAGUCCUGGGGGCUGGCCUCACAUCCACCCCCGGCCUUCUAACCUCUGAUGCCCAUGGCUGGUCCGCAGCCCCAGACAGGACGCCACCCCGGCUCAGCUUGAGGUCCUGAGUGACUGCACCUCCGGUUAGUUCUGGGGGCGCCCUUCCACGCCUGGGGAUAUGACCAGCAAAGCCCCUUUGAAGGUGGCAUUGGUAACCUGGCUGACCACAGAGCAGGGUCCCGCAGCCCAGAGGGGUGACAGGGCAGGCCGGGCUGUGCCUCGGGCUGUGGGCCCCAGCCCUCACACCCAGACGGCUCAGUGAUGCCCUUUGCCUGGUUCUCAUCUUUCUACUGACGCAUUGAUGUGACUCAUAUAGAGCCUUCAAGACUACUAGUCGUUUUGCUGGCCACCAGGCCGCUGCUUCGCCCCGGCCUCCCGAGCCAGGGCACCGGUGAUCGUGCUGGUGGAGGUCUGGGUGGCGGGGACGGGGACGCUAGACCACGGAGCCCAUUUGCAGAGGUGACCACGAGUGACAGCUCCAUGACCCAGACGCGUGGGGCCUACUUAUAGUCUUAAAUUAUUAUUUUUCAGCCCUUAAAAAACCCUCUAGUUUGAGUACCUAUGACUAUAAAUUGCCCUCUGUGUACUGUUUAGCUGUUUUCCAAAGAUUUAAUAUGUGGUAUUUUUGUUAUUAUUUAUCUAUACAUAUUUUUAAAAUUUCUUUGAUAUGCUUUUCCUCUAUGAGUAAUAUGUGUUGAAGUAUUUAAUUUACUUUACAAAUGCUGUUUAUGCUGUUAUAUGUUAAAAUAACAGUUUACUUCUAAUUUCUAACAGUAUUACUGUGGUCAGAAAAGUUUUAUGUCUUACACUGAGUUUUUGUAGUGAUUUCAACUUGUUUUAUGGCCUGAUAUGUGGUUAGCUCUGGAAUGUUCCACGUGUGCUUCAGAACGUCUCCAAAACUUGACAGUGAGUUUUUGUGUGUAUUAAGUCAGGACUGUUCAUUUUGUUACUUAAAUUAUCUGUAGCAAAAUAUAAACACAACACAUACACAUACAACAACAACAACAAAACAAUGUAUCAAGACUAAUUUAGGGUGAUCCCAGAAAGGAGUAGAUGGUUUUAACAUUACAAACAUAUGACUGUGUGAAAAUUGCUAUCAGACUAAAUAAAAACCAUAUGAUCUCCUUAAUAGAUGGAGAAAGAACAGCAUCUGAACAAAGUAUACACCCAUUUAUGAUUUUCUAAAAUAACUCUUAGCAAAUCAAAAGGACUAAACACCAGAAAACUAAUGAAGGUUAUUUACCAGAAAAUAGAGCAAACAUUAUAGCUGAUUAGAAGAGAGACAGAGAUGGCCGCUGACAGCAUUUCUACUCGGCAGCGUGCUGUAGGUAGUGUCCCUCUUAGAUAAUAGUCCAAGACAAAUAGAAGAGGCAAAGAUUCAAAAAAUAAAUUGUUACUAUUUGAAGAUGAUAUGUUUGUUUGCUCAGUAAAACCAAGAGUCUACAGAGAAGAAAAUUAGCACUUCUUGAAAAAGAUGAAAGAAAAAUCAAGGGAUUCACUUAUGAUAUUCAUGGAUAGAAACACCUAUUAUGAGAAAGAUGCCUUCUGUCCCUAAUGAAUCUGUACGUUCUCUGUGGUUCUAAUAAAAAUCCCAGUAGGGUUUUACAUGGGCUUUGAAAAUGGCCCUUAAAUUUUAUGUAAACAAGAGAAUUCUGAAACCAAAAUUGGCAUGGCUACUUUUCCUACUAAGUGUCAAGAUGUGUUAGAAAGGUGUGGUGAGCGAUACGGCCCACAGAGAAUUAGCUGCUACAGCAUGGAGAAGUGCUGUAAGACAGUGCAAAAUGCCGAGCCCGGUUGCUACAACGGGCAGAAGAUAGCACACUUGUGCACAGAUAAAUACCCAGUGAUAACGAUACUGAAGCAGGGGGCACUAGUAGUCAGGGUGGUGCACAGUAGAACUCCAGCAAGAUGCCAGCCCAGAAUCGCCACGCUCUGGUCAGUGUCUGGAGCCAUGUGGGACCAUGAAUGGAUGCACAGAGUGUCAAUGUCUCUGCCACCCAAGACACCGGUGAACAGCAGUGAGCGUGCGGCAGAUUUGCACGUGCAGCGUUCCCCGCUGUCUGCGCUUCAAGGAACCUAUCAGGCAUAUCCCAAGGAGACACAUAGUCAUCCUCUUGGCUGCAUUAUUUGUAGAAGAGAAACUCUGGAAGUGUCAGUGACCAUUACAAGAAUGGAAAAAUCUAUCGCAUUAUAUCCUUCGCAGAGAGCAGUAAUAUUUCAUUAUCAUUAGAUAGUAGUUUUUCUUAAAGAAAGUUAUCCUAACUGAAUUCUUCCAGAUUUCAAGAUAUCAAAUUAUUGUAAUUCAAAAUUCCACUCCUAAUAAAAGUAUUUGUUUUAUGCAUUUUCCUGUUAGAUA